rnacentral:rRNA from 1 species
AUUGAACGCUGGCGGCAUGCCUUACACAUGCAAGUCGAACGGUAACAGGUCUUCGGAUGCUGACGAGUGGCGAACGGGUGAGUAAUACAUCGGAACGUGCCCGAGAGUGGGGGAUAACGAGGCGAAAGCUUUGCUAAUACCGCAUACGAUCUCAGGAUGAAAGCAGGGGACCGCAAGGCCUUGCGCUCACGGAGCGGCCGAUGGCAGAUUAGGUAGUUGGUGGGAUAAAAGCUUACCAAGCCGACGAUCUGUAGCUGGUCUGAGAGGACGACCAGCCACACUGGGACUGAGACACGGCCCAGACUCCUACGGGUGGCAGCAGUGAGGAAUUUUGGACAAUGGGCGCAAGCCUGAUCCAGCCAUGCCGCGUGCAGGAUGAAGGCCUUCGGGUUGUAAACUGCUUUUGUACGGAACGAAAAGACUCCUUCUAAUAAAGGGGGUUCAUGACGGUACCGUAAGAAUAAGCACCGGCUAACUACGUGCCAGCAGCCGCAGUAACAC